rnacentral:rRNA from 1 species
GACGGACGCUGGCGGCGUGGAUUAGGCAUGCAAGUCGAACGGUAGGAUACCUUCGGGUAUCUGAGAGUGGCGAACGGGUGAGUAACACGUAGGUGAUCUACCCUCAAGAUUGGGACAACCCAGGGAAACUUGGGCUAAUACCGGAUGAAAGCAGCAGUGAUGUUGUUUGAAAGGUGGCGUAAGCUGCCGUUUGGGGAUGAGCCUGCGCUCUAUUAGUUAGUUGGCGGGGUAAAGGCCCACCAAGGCGAUGAUAGAUAGGCGGCCUUAACGGGUGGUCGCCCACACUGGGAUUGAGAUACGGCCCAGACUCCUACGGGAGGCAGCAGUCGAGAAUAGUCUACAAUGGCCGAAAGGCUGAUAGUGCGACGCCGCGUGAACGAAGAAGCCCUUCGGGGUGUAAAGUUCUUUUAUAUGUGAGCAGUGCUUUCUAUGUGAACAGCAUGGGGAAGAGAUAUUAGCAUAUGAAUAAGCAACGGCUAACUCCGUGCC